rnacentral:lncRNA from 14 species
AAGUCAUUAGUGACUCAGUGUCUAUGGUGACAGUCCCAGACUGCCAGAGCUGUUUGUCUAAAGCCUUGGGUGUUGGGUGCUAAGAAAGAAGACAAAUUCAAGACAGACUAUGAGAUGGACCUCGGUGAGAUUCCCCCCUUCCACCCUAGCCUCUCUAUUCAUGACUUCCAUUGAUGACUUCCAUGCUGGCCUGAAUAUGGAGCUCACUGGAUGGUGAAGCCUUCGGUUUUGAGCUAGAGCUUCAGGAUAGAGACACUAAGGCCUCUUCGGUGUGUGAAACGUCUACGUGCACACAAUCAGCAUUAGAGAGGAAAAAAUAUCCUUGCCUGAAGUAUGCAUUUUCUUCUAUUUCUAACACAUGCAAACCCAAUGCAGGUGCUGGCAAGCUGUUUGCCGGGGGCUCUGACAAUGAUGUAAGGAAGACCAGGGCCAACCGACCACCAUCUCCAAAGAGCGGUGCGGACCAUGUGUGGUGUGAACACUGCCUGUUUGUCCUUGCUGCAGUCCCAGUUAGCUGUGUGCUAACUGCACGAAUAAAGAACACUUCUGUGGAGCAA